rfam:Ornithorhynchus anatinus chromosome 3, whole genome shotgun sequence.
CCCCUCUCAGGAUCGCACCUGGAGAGUUUCCAGUACUCUACCAGUUUCAGCUAUGGGAAGGAGAGUCAAGCAGAGGCAUACCCAUUCCUAGCUUGAGCAAUGGCUAGUGAGUGGAAGGCAAUCUGCUACAAGU